ACUAAAGGAGGUAUGUUGUAAGUGUUGUGAGAGAUUAAAGGUAAACCCUACAUGGUAAAAAAUCACUCAAACAUUGGAUCAAAAAGAUGCCAGAUGGCCCAGGACAACAUCUUCCAGAGAGAUGCUGGAGCUGGGAAGGCAGCCUGAUCUGCUCCCUGUGUAGCAAUGACCACAGCAAAGAAAAGGAUGAAGACAUAAUGUAGAACAAGCCAAGAGUGAUGAAAUGAAACCUGACACAUAACAUUCUACAAGAGAACAAGGUGUUUAGGGGACCAAUAUCCACCUAAUUUGUAUGAUUCAAGGGAUCUACCAACAAUCACUCUUAGUAUUCAUAAAGCUGGUCCUCUUCUGGAGAUCUCCAAGGAGAAUAAGCCAGAAUAUUGUUACUUGGUUUUAGCAGGGAAAAUCGUUAUUCUUGGACAGGUGAAAUGCACUUGUAUCAC